rnacentral:rRNA from 1 species
ACCGGUUACCCUUUGCCCAGUACAUAUCUUUCAAAGAUUAAGCCCAUGCAUGCUAAGUACAUUGGAAAAAGGCGAAACCGCGAAUGGCUCAUUAAAUCAGUUAUGGUUCCUUAGAUCGUUUCUUCCUACUUGGAUAACUGUGGCAAUUCUAAAACUAAUACAUGCAGUGAGCCUGGAGCCCUUUGGGUAACGGGUGCUUUUAUUAGACCAAGAUCGAUCGGGUUUCGGCCCGUAUUGUGUGGUGACUCUGGAUAACUUUGUGCUGAUCGCAUGGCCACGAGCGACUUUCCGUCAAGUGUCUGCCUUCUCAACUUUCGAUGGUAGGUUACUUGCUUACCAUGGUUGUUACGGGUAACGGAGAAUCAGGGUUCGAUUCCGGAGAGGGAGCCUGAGAAACGGCUACCACAUCCAAGGAAGGCAGCAGGCGCGCAAAUUACCCACUCCCGGCACGGGGAGGUAGUGACGAAAAAUAACAAUACGGGACUCUUUUGAGGCCCCGUAAUUGAAAUGAGUACACUCUAAAUCCUUUAACGAGGAUCAAUUGGAGGGCAAGUCUGGUGCCAGCAGCCGCGGUAAUUCCAGCUCCAAUAGCGUAUACUAAAGCUGCGCGGUUGAAAGAAAGCCUCGUCAGUUGGAUAUCAGUUCCAGACGAGUAGUGCAUCUACCCGAUGCGACGGCUCGGACUGAACAUCAUGCCGGUUCUUUCUUGGUGCACUUCAUUGUGUGCCUCGAGAUGGCCGGUGCUUUUACUUUGAAAAAAUUAGAGUGCGCAACGCAGGCGAGUCGCCUGAAUAAACUUGCAUGGAAUAAUAGAACAAGACCUCGUUUCUGUUCUGUUGGUUUUUGGAAUACGAGGUAAUGAUUAAGAGGGCCGGACGGGGGCAUUCGUAUUGCGGCGCUAGAGGUGAAAUUCUUGGACCGUCGCAAGACGAACUACUGCGAAAGCAUUUGCCAAGAAUGUUUUCAUUGAUCAACGAAGGAGUCGGAUAGGGCGAUCCAGAAAAUACCGCACCUAUUCUGACCAUAAACCAUGCCAACCGCGCCGCCUGAGUUACUCAAAUGACUCGGCGGGCAGCUUCCGGGAAACCAAAGUAUUUGGGUUCCGGGGGAAGUAUGGUUGCAAAGCUGAAACUUAAAGGAAUUGACGGAAGGGCACCACCAGGAGUGGAGCCUGCGGCUUAAUUUGACUCAACACGGGAAAACUUACCCGGCCCGGACACUGGGAGGAUUGACAGAUUGAGAGCUCUUUCUUGAUUCGGUGGAUGGUGGUGCAUGGCCGUUCUUAGUUGGAGUGGAGCGAUUGUCUGGUUUAUAUUCCCGGAUAACGAAACGAGACCUCAGCCCCUAUUAAAUAGGUGCGGCCCCAGCCCUUAAAACCCUUCUUAGAGGGACAAGCGGCUCCUAGCCGCACGAAACAGAGCAAUAACAGGUCUGUGAUGCCCUUAGAUGUCCGGGGCCGCACGCGCUACACUGAAGGAAGGCCAACCUGUCUUUAUCCCUGUCUGAAAAGACUGGGUAACCCGUGGAACUUCUUUCGUGAUUGGGAUAGGGGCUUGCAAUUGUUCCCCUUGAACGAGGAAUUCCCAGUAAGCGCGCGAGUCAUCAAGGCCGCGUUGAUUACGUCCCUGCCCUUUGUAGCACACGCUCCGCGCAUACUACCGAUUGAAUGAUUUAGUGAGGUCUUCGGACCGAUGUCCGGCGCGGCCUUUCGGUUGCGCCGGUCUGUUGGAAAGAUGACCAAACUUGAUCAUUUAGAGGAAGUAAAAGUCGUAACAAGGUUUCCGUAGGUGAACCUGCGGAAG